ensembl:lncRNA
ACCUGAGACGGGCUAGGAGCAGAAGAGAUGCUUAGUGUGGCCUUUCACUUUGCUUAUUCGCAGACGCACAGACGCAUGAAACCCUGGAGCUACCAGGAAACAGGUCUGCCUGCCUGGAAUGCUGAGCCCUGAUUCUGGAUGUUGGAGAGCCCUCAUCUAGUCCAGGGACACAGAUGUCCUUCAUGUCCUCUGGCCCAGCCCUUCGUGCUGAUGGGCUGAGGAUGCCUGAACGCACUCUCUGGAAUGAG